GGCGGCGUGCUUAACACGAUGCAAGUCGAACGGAGUACCCGUUGCGGCGGCUUCGGCCAAAGCAACGGACUACUUAGUGGCGGACGGGUGAGUAACGCGUGAGCAAUCUGCCUCGGAUGGGGGAGUAACACCGGGAAACUGGUGCUAAUACCGCAUGAUGUAACGAGACCGCAUGGUUUUGUUACCAAAGGAGCAAUCCGCUUUGAGAUGAGCUCGCGUCUGAUUAGCUAGUUGGUGGGGUAACGGCCUACCAAGGCGACGAUCAGUAGCCGGACUGAGAGGUUGAACGGCCACAUUGGGACUGAGAUACGGCCCAGACUCCUACGGGAGGCAGCAGUGGGGAAUAUUGCACAAUGGGGGAAACCCUGAUGCAGCAACGCCGCGUGAAGGAAGAAGGUCUUCGGAUUGUAAACUUCUUUUCUCAGGGACGAUAAUGACGGUACCUGAGGAAUAAGCCACGGCUAACUACGUGCCAGCAGCCGC
rnacentral:rRNA from 1 species